rfam:Hordeum vulgare subsp. vulgare, WGS project CAJW01000000 data, contig: morex_contig_1570189
GAAGUACUCCCUCCUUCCGAAAUUACUUGUCGCAGAAAUAGAUAAAAAUAGAUGUAUCUAGAAGUAAAAUACGUCUAGAUACAUCCAUUCCUCCGACAAGUAUUUCUGGACGGAGGUAGUAUAAU